AAGCAUGGACAGCUUUUUACCAGAAAUAUUCGACUCCUAUUGAAAAGUGGAAUGGUCAUAAUCUCAUUACAUAAUUUACAGAACUACAUUCAAGAUAUGCAUGAACAAAAGAUUGCUACAAAGUUUACAACAGCAUGAGUCCUCGGCUCAAGUGAGAGAGAGAGAGAGAAUGCAGUCCCCCCUCCCCCCAGAAAAGGUUGAGCUCCUAUAGAGAGAGAGAGAGAGAGAGAGAGAGAGAGAC
rnacentral:lncRNA from 1 species